rnacentral:lncRNA from 1 species
UGACUUUUAGCUUCAUUAAAUUUUCUCUUUGUGGAUUUUCUAGGCGAAGCACUUCAAGAGCAACAACUGCCUCUUUAAUGGGGAAAACCAUGUUGGAGAUCAAGGAAUUAAUUGAAAGAACGUCAUUUAGCAGUUUAACAAACAUGGCAACAAAGUCAAGGUCUCUAACUAGAGCAAAAGAUCUUGAACUCAGAAAAAAAGCCUACAAGAGAAUGAAGAAGGCUCCAGUCAUGGAGGACAGAGACCCCAAGCUGUCGGGCUGCUGGAGGCAGAGUGCCUUCUGCAUCCAACUGGCAGUGACGCCGCUCCUCGCAGAGGUUGUGCACACCUGUGUACUGCAGAUACCAGUUUCAUAACACUCCAGUUCACCAGACCAUGG